rnacentral:rRNA from 1 species
AUUGAACGCUGGCGGCAGGCCUAACACAUGCAAGUCGAACGGUAACAGGAAGCAGCUUGCUGCUUUGCUGACGAGUGGCGGACGGGUGAGUAAUGUCUGGGAAACUGCCCGAUGGAGGGGGUUAACUACUGGAAACGGUAGCUAAUACCGCAUAACGUCGCAAGACCAAAGAGGGGGACCUUAGGGCCUCUUGCCAUCGGAUGUGCCCAGAUGGGAUUAGCUAGUAGGUGGGGUAACGGCUCACCUAGGCGACGAUCCCUAGCUGGUCUGAGAGGAUGACCAGCCACACUGGAACUGAGACACGGUCCAGACUCCUACGGGAGGCAGCAGUGGGGAAUAUUGCACAAUGGGCGCAAGCCUGAUGCAGCCGUGCCGCGUGUAUGAAGAAGGCCUUCGGGUUGUAAAGUACUUUCAGCGGGGAGGAAGGGAGUAAAGUUAAUACCUUUGCUCAUUGACGUUACCCGCAGAAGAAGCACCGGCUAACUCCGUG